GAACUUCUUCCGACGGACUCCCUGCAAGCUCCCAAUCUUUGUGAUGACUUUAACGAGUAGCCGAGCCUUCUCGGUGAUCUCCGCGAGCCUCCGACGAUUUCUUCGGCGAACUUCUGACACGUUCCCGAUUUCUUCUCGGUUGGUUCCGGCAGCAUCUCCGAUGAUUCUUCGGUCUCUUAAACGUCCAUCGAGCUCGACUCCGGUAUCCUUGCUUUAUGUUUUC
rnacentral:lncRNA from 1 species